GAUGAACGCUGGCGGCGUGCUUAACACAUGCAAGUCGAACGAUGAAGCCCAGCUUGCUGGGUGGAUUAGUGGCGAACGGGUGAGUAACACGUGAGUAACCUGCCCUUAACUCUGGGAUAAGCCUGGGAAACUGGGUCUAAUACCGGAUAGGAGCGCCUACCGCAUGGUGGGUGUUGGAAAGAUUUAUCGGUUUUGGAUGGACUCGCGGCCUAUCAGCUUGUUGGUGAGGUAAUGGCUCACCAAGGCGACGACGGGUAGCCGGCCUGAGAGGGUGACCGGCCACACUGGGACUGAGACACGGCCCAGACUCCUACGGGAGGCAGCAGUGGGGAAUAUUGCACAAUGGGCGAAAGCCUGAUGCAGCGACGCCGCGUGAGGGAUGACGGCCUUCGGGUUGUAAACCUCUUUCAGUAGGGAAGAAGCGGAAGUGACGGUACCUGCAGAAGAAGCACCGGCUAACUACGUG
rnacentral:rRNA from 1 species